rnacentral:rRNA from 1 species
UUGCCUACGGGGGGCAGCAGUGGGGGAUAUUGCACAAUGGGGGGAACCCUGAUGCAGCGACGCCGCGUGAACGAAGAAAUAUUUCGGUAUGUAAAGUUCUAUCAGCAGGGAAGAAAAUGAGGGUACCUGACUAAGAAGCCCCGGCUAACUACGUGCCAGCAGCCGCGGUAAUACGUAGGGGGCAAGCGUUAUCCGGAUUUACUGGGUGUAAAGGGAGCGUAGACGGCGAUGCAAGUCUGAAGUGAAAGGCGGGGGCCCAA